ACAUGGCAGGUUGGAAAGGGUCCACUUGGUCCAUUCUCUUCCUUGUUAGAGGGGUCACAGGCUAUGCUUGAGUCUUAUCUUAGAAUGAUAGCCAGCGGCGAGAUUGAUCCCUGUUAUCCGGUAGAAACCUAUAUAGUUCAUCGAUUUCGCCAGGAUAUUGUUGGCUCUCUCUCGGAAAACAUCCUACCAGACAACCAAUUUUUUCUCAAGCACCCGGACGACAAAGGUGACCACAUUCUGGUUAAUGACCGUUUUGAUAUCGUGGGAGUCAUAGACUGGGAAUGGACUCGAACGGUCUCCAGUGCCGAGGCGUUUUGUUCGCCAUGCAUGAUGUGGCCGGUGAACGAGUUCUACGACGGCUCUAAUCAACUAGCUGCCAUCUUUCAGGAAAGGGGCCGUGCAGAUCUUGCCAACUAUGUUCUCAAGGGUAGAAAGGUUCAGAGAUUUUUCUUUGCUCUUGGGCCUGAGAGUUCUUUUAUAGACAUGCAGACGCUUCCACGUCUUUUCGCGGGACUUCAAGAAGCUUUUAACGUCAAAAGCGAG
rnacentral:sRNA from 1 species